ACUUCUCGCUGAGUUCUAGGGUUUCCUCGCCAUCGUGCACUUCCGCGCACCCGCAGGCCACCUCGACUUUGUUUCCUCCUCUCGUCGACUCCCCCAUAUGUCGCUCCUCUCCUUCACUUCCUCUCGUCCGACAAGUUCGUCGAUUUAAAGGCCAUCCCCUCUCUAGCAUCUAGUGAUUUGGGGGUACUUAUCUCUCUCGGAGCUCAAAACCCUAGUGAUCUGGCUCCGAUCUGAACGAUUUGGAUCUCUGAAUUACUUAUUCGUUAAAUACCUGAUCAUGGAUAAUGGGGAAAUUGAGAGCACAGAUGAGGAGAUGCCUGCACAUACGGGACGGCAGUAUAGUCUGGUGACAUUGCAUGAUCGACCAGUUAUCGAAAUUUCUUCACUGGAGGCUGGAACUUCUUCAGAAACUUCACUGAAGAAUGUUAAAGAGAGGUCUAAUCUAGAAAGUACUGCCAAUAGAAUGGAGUCUCAUACUCAUGGUGGACCUGGUGGAUCUCAAACAGAAUCAAAAUUGGAGCUGUUUGGUUUUGAUUCACUUGUCAAUAUAUUAGGCCUUAAAAGGAAACUGGUCCAAAGAUGGGGACUAUGAUGGGUGUGUUUGUACCAUGCUUGCAGAAUAUUUUGGGUAUUAUCUACUAUAUCCGUUUUUCUUGAGUUGGAUAUACACAAACCCACUUGCUAUGAUUUGUUGGAGCUGACAAAAACAUGCAAGCAGAAAUGUGUCAACCUCUUCAAAAUAGGAGACCAUUUGAGGAAAAUUGAUGGUGGCUGAAACAGGUUAAUCCAUGCGUGCUUUUCACUUACUGUGAGAUUAGCUCUAUCCAGACAAUUUACAAAUUAUGUAUACCAAUGGAUACCUUUAAACAGAAGACACUUUUUGUUUUAAUGAAAGAGGAAUUUUAGUCAUGUACUUUGGACAAAAGAAAAAACUUGUACUAAAGUCAUUGUAAUGAUACAAUGAAUUGUUCCUUAUGUUUGGUUGUUAAUUUGCUUUCAAAAUUUGGAGUUUCAUUUC